UACGGGGGGGGCAAGCGUUGUUCGGAAUUACUGGGCGUAAAGGGCUCGUAGGCGGCCAACUAAGUCAGACGUGAAAUACCCCAGGCUCAACCGUGGGAACUCGCGUCUGAUACUGGAUGGCUUGAAUUCGGGAGAGGGAUGCAGAAUUCCAGGUGUAGCGGUGAAAUGCGUAGAUAUCUGGAGGAACACCGGUGGCGAAGGCGGCAUCCUGGACCGGCAUUGACGCUGAGGAGCGAAAGCCAGGGGAGCAAACGGG
rnacentral:rRNA from 1 species